AGGCGGUCUCGUAAGACAGGUGUGAAAUCCCCGGGCUUAACCUGGGAACUGCACUUGUGACUGCAAGGCUGGAGUACGGCAGAGGGGGAUGGAAUUCCGCGUGUAGCAGUGAAAUGCGUAGAUAUGCGGAGGAACACCGAUGGCGAAGGCAAUCUCCUGGGCCUGUACUGACGCUCAUGCACGAAAGCGUGGGGAGCAAACA
rnacentral:rRNA from 1 species